UAAAGGGGACGGGGUUUUCCGCCACUCUCUCUCGCUGGCAUCUCUCUGGCUCUGCGCGCCCGGCGCUCGCUCGCUGCCUAAAGAUGUAAACAAUAGAGCACGCUCUGCGCUUUGGCGCGCCGGAGCUCUGGCUCCUAAAAAUAUUGAGGGGCUUUCGUUUCUGGGGCUGGGCGCUGGGCACUUGCUCUCCUGGCUCCCAAAGAUGUUAGCAAUAAAGUUUUGCCGCAGAAGAUUUUGGUCUGUGGUGUUCUUCCUGGCCGGUCGUGAGAACGCGUCUAAUAACAAAUAAUCACUUAGGGAUUCUAUGGGCUCAAAGAAAAGUCCUUCUGUGAACAAGAGGCACCCAAAGGAAGGGAGUCUCAAGUUGUCACUAUCAACUUACAUUUACCUUUCAAGGAUCUGUGGCCCACAUGUCUGGGUCAGGUCCUGCUAUCAGGUGAACACAGAGAGCUGUCAAGACAGGUGGAACGUCUCUGGUGUGGUAUCUGAGUCCAGUAGGUGCUGCAUUUGGCUUGCAUGCUUCCUUUACGUUCCUAUAGAAUCUUCUAGAACUUCAGAUAGAUCGUUCUUUCUGCACACUCUGAACUUUCCCUCCUUGCUUCCUUCUCUUUCCCACAGAUCUUUUGAUCUCUUAGCCUCCCUAUCUCUUUUCUGGCUAAUUCCAGAAUCCUCUGCCUCUCUCUGGUCUCACCUUGAGCCACAAUGAUGACCAUGGUCAGCUCUUUACCAGUUCAAAACACUCCACAACUUUGGCUUUUUUUGCGGUAAGGUCUCUAUUUGUCUCUCUUGAGCUAAGAUCAUGAUCAAGAAAGAUCUUGAGCUCAAGACCUUUCUGCCUCCAGCCCUCCGAGUACUGGAUCACCAUCCAAGUGGUGGGAUAUGCUACCAUACCCAGCAAAAGACUAAAUGUUAGUGGAAAUCUCCAGGUGGAAACACUAAUCUUAAGGUUAUCUUCCCCAUUUGAAAAUGGUUUGUUUAUGCCUGAAUUACUGUUUAUUGCUAUACAUACACACUGUAGAGGAAUAUAUGUAUUUAUACUAUUUAAUUUAAACUGGUAAUCAAGUUUAUGGUAAUCUUCCUUCCUCAGAGUCUCAAAUGUUGGGAUUACUAUUGAAUGCUACCACACCUCACCAGGACCUUGAACCACCAGCCCAGGGAUUGCCCCACCCACAGUGGGCUGGGCCCUCAACCAUCAAUCACUAAGAAAAUGCAGGAUCUUGUAGAGGCAUUUUUCUCAAUUGAGGUUCCCUUCUUUCAAAUAACUAGUUUGUGUCAAGUUAACAUAAAACUAGCCAGCAUACUAGUGGUAGUACUUACUAGAGAGUUAUAAUUCUCCUGAACUAGAUCCAGUUAGGCAUCUCUACCCUAAGCUGCAAACCUGAAGUAUCAGAAAACAGAGACCUCCCCCCAACAUCUCCCCCCACCUUCCUCUUACCUCCCUCACUCCUCCCCCACUCCAGUCCAGACCUUCCAGUGGUAAACACUGAGGGUGUCCUAAGCCCUCCUGGUAGGUAAUAAGGCUGUGGUUCUCAGCAGAGCUGCACAUUGGAAUUGCCUGGAGAGAGCCAGUGAGCUGCCUAGGUGGCUCAGGACACUUGCCACCAAGCCUGAUGACCUGAGCUUGAUCCCUUGAACAGGAGAGACCUGACUCUGGCUUCCACACACAUGCCAUGAUAUGCCAGCAAUUAGAAGCAUACACAUAAAUAAAUGUAAAAAUCAAAAAAGGUAAAAGAAUUACAUGGAAUAUUUAAAAAAAAUUGAGAUAUGCGUGCUCCAUUGAGACCAACUGUUAUCAUCUGAGGGACAGGGACCAGUCAUAGAAUUUCUCAAAGCUCCAAGAUUAUACGUAUCUAAGGCUUAAGAAUAUACCUCUUGCCCUGCGCGGUGGCGCACACCUUUGAUCCCAGCACUUGGGAGGCAGAGGCAGGUGAAUUUCUGAGUUCAAGGCCAGCCUGGUCUACAGAGUGAGUUCCAGAACAGCCAGGGCUACACAGAGAAACCCUGUCUCAAAAAACCAAAAAAUAAAAAACCAUAAAAACAACAGAAUAUACCUCUUGGGUGUGUGUGUGUGUGUGGAGAGAUGGCUCAGCAAUUAAGUCCUCUGACUAGCACAUGUACACAAUGUCACACAUACACACAUGUACACACACAUACACACUUGUAUACACACACACACUCAUUCACGCACAGGCGGUACACUCUACCAAACCUGGCACAUCCUGUGUUUCUGGAAGUGAAGUGAAAGCCAGAUUCCCUCGCACCCAUCCACCAUUUUAUGUGACCGACUGGGUAAAUCUGAUCUGUGGAGACCGCCUCACCUCCUUGCUUUCAGCCAGAGGGGAUGACUCUGAGCUUGUUUAAAAAGCGGAGCAAAAAGCCUCGAAGAUAUGGGUACAGGGGAAAAAUUCCUAAAUAGAACAGCAAUGGCUUGUGCUCUAAGAUCGAGAAUCGAUAAAUGGGACCUCAUAAAAUUGCAAAGCUUCUGCAAGGCAAAAGACACUGUCAAAAGGACAAAAAGACCACCAACAGAUUGGGAAAGGAUCUUUACCUAUCCCAAAUUGGAUAGGGGACUAAUAUACAAUAUAUAUAAAGAACUCAAGAAGGUGGACUCCAGAAAAUCAAAUAACCCCAUUAAAAAUGGGGCUCAGAGCUGAACAAAGAAUUCUCACCUGAGGAAUACCAAAUGGCAGAGAAGCACCUGAAAAAAUGUUCAACAUCCUUAAUCAUCAGGGAAAUGAAAAUCAAAACAACCCUGAGAUUCCACUUCACACCAGUCAGAAUGGCUAAGAUCAAAAAUUCAGGUGACAGCAGAUGCUGGCGAGGAUGUGGAGAAAGAGGAGCACUCCUCCAUUGUUGGUGGGAUUGCAAGCUUGUACAACCACUCUGGAAAUCAGUCUGGCGGUUCCUCAGA
rnacentral:lncRNA from 1 species